AUUGCCCUAGUAACGGCGAGUGAAGCGGCAACAGCUCAAAUUUGAAAUCUGGCUUCGGCCCGAGUUGUAAUUUGCAGAGGAAGCUUUAGGCGCGGCACUUUCUGAGUCCCCUGGAACGGGGCGCCAUAGAGGGUGAGAGCCCCGUAUAGUUAGAUGCCUAGCCUGUGUAAAGCUCCUUCGACGAGUCGAGUAGUUUGGGAAUGCUGCUCAAAAUGGGAGGUAAAUUUCUUCUAAAGCUAAAUACCGGCCAGAGACCGAUAGCGCACAAGUAGAGUGAUCGAAAGAUGAAAAGCACUUUGAAAAGAGGGUUAAAUAGCACGUGAAAUUGUUGAAAGGGAAGCGCUUGUGACCAGACUUGCGCCGGGCAGAUCAUCCGGUGUUCUCACCGGUGCACUCUGCCCGGCUCAGGCCAGCAUCGGUUCUCGCGGGGGGAUAAAGGCCCUGGGAACGUAGCUCCUCCGGGAGUGUUAUAGCCCGGGGCGUAAUGCCCUCGCGGGGACCGAGGUUCGCGCAUCUGCAAGGAUGCUGGCGUAAUGGUCAUCAGCGACCCGUCUUGAAACACGGACCAAGGAGUCAAGGUUUUGCGCGAGUGUUUGGGUGUAAAACCCGCACGCGUAAUGAAAGUGAACGUAGGUGAGAGCUUCGGCGCAUCAUCGACCGAUCCUGAUGUUUUCGGAUGGAUUUGAGUAGGAGCGUUAAGCCUUGGACCCGAAAGAUGGUGAACUAUGCUUGGAUAGGGUGAAGCCAGAGGAAACUCUGGUGGAGGCUCGCAGCGGUUCUGACGUGCAAAUCGAUCGUCAAAUCUGAGCAUGGGGCGAAAGACUAAUCGAA
rnacentral:rRNA from 1 species